CCUGUAGCUCAAAGGAUAGAGCAUCUGUCUUCGGAACAGAGGGUUGGGGGUUCGAGUCCCUCCGGGUG
rnacentral:tRNA from 1 species